AGUGAACGCUGGCGGUAGGCCUAACACAUGCAAGUCGAACGGCAGCACAGUAAGAGCUUGCUCUUACGGGUGGCGAGUGGCGGACGGGUGAGGAAUACAUCGGAAUCUACUUUUUCGUGGGGGAUAACGUAGGGAAACUUACGCUAAUACCGCAUACGACCUACGGGUGAAAGCAGGGGAUCUUCGGACCUUGCGCGAUUGAAUGAGCCGAUGUCGGAUUAGCUAGUUGGCGGGGUAAAGGCCCGCCAAGGCGACGAUCCGUAGCUGGUCUGAGAGGAUGAUCAGCCACACUGGAACUGAGACACGGUCCAGACUCCUACGGGAGGCAGCAGUGGGGAAUAUUGGACAAUGGGCGAAAGCCUGAUCCAGCCAUACCGCGUGGGUGAAGAAGGCCUUCGGGUUGUAAAGCCCUUUUGUUGGGAAAGAAAAGCAGCAGGUUAAUACCCCGCUGUUCUGACGGUACCCAAAGAAUAAGCACCGGCUAACUUCGUG
rnacentral:rRNA from 1 species